UCCCCUGCCAAAACGAGAGGGUGGGGACGGGAGGGCGGAAGGAGCACGCGGGGAGCCCGCGGCGCGAGGGGCUCGGUUCCUGGUUAACUCUUCGCGGCCCUCGCCGCAGCCGGCUCGGCCUGCGUCCGCGGGGGCUGGCCAAGAGCGGCACUGAUCAACUCGCAAAAUCUCUUGCGUCACCGACCUUGUGAGGGUAGAAAUCCUUGAGGUGCCUCUGGAGGCAAGGAGAACUGGGUAUCUUCUCCCUCCAAACAUGAGCAGAGCGCCUAACAGAACAGGAGUAGGCGCUAGAGACAAGGUUACAGAUAAGAGAGUAGACUAUUCUCUGACCGCAGCAGUAAAGUGAGAGAAAGGCACAUGGGAAGACAACACAAAGACGCUGGGACAACUACUCUGUCAUUUUCUUUCAAAUUGCAUGGGAACCCUCUCAAAUUAGGUCAGUUAAGAAGAGCUACAACAGACCACUUCAGAUAUCCCCGGACGUAAGGGAAGCACACUUAGACCAUAUGGGACGUGGAACUGGACAUUCAGGACCCAAGUCCUUUCAACCCCUUGGAAACCUGUGGCUGCAGGACAGAGUCUUGCUCUGUUACCCAGGCUUAAGUGCAGUGGUGUCAUUAUAGCUGGCUGCAACCUCAAAUUCAAUUGAUCCUCCUGCCUCAGCCUCCUGAGUAGCUGGGACUACAGGUUUGAUCUCACCAGACACUCAGGCUGCACUUACCCACUUUAACAGGAGCUCUUCCAAUGUGCUGUGGUGUCCAGGGAGUUCUGUGUUUAAAGGGGCCCGUCCAGUACCUUUGUCCAACUGACUGAUAAGAAACUUCAAUGCCCAGCCUGGGACAUAAGUGGGGCAGAAGGUGGAAGAGUGAACAUACUGUAUCUCCAUAAAUGUCCAACUUGAUCAUAAUGAUUUAGGCAUGACCUAGAAUCCCUUGGAGGUCUUGAUCAUUUUAGUUUCAAAUGACCCUUAUUAUAUAGAGAAUCUUUUUUGAAGUUAGUUCUUCUAAAAAUCUGCUUUUGGUCUCUACUCAGUGAGUUCUGUAAGUACUUAUUUUAGAGAUAAGCUUUCAUGGCUAUCCCUAUUGUUCCAGCUUCAGCGAUUGAAACAUCCAAGACUAUGUUUUGAUUUUACUUCUUUGUAGUUAUUUUAUCUUGGAUCUUUCUGAGUCUUAGAUUAUAUUGAGCAAUUAUGGUUGCUUUUCCACAGAUUCACCACAUAACCCCUGAUUAUCUAUAAACCAGGUAUUGCUCUCUCCAUGAUAUUCCAACAGACCUUCUUGUUCAAAUCACACAGAUUUCCAAUGAUGCCCACCCUCCUUCGCAAACACAGGGCUCCCUCUGCCCCCCUCUGCACACUCCCAGGGGGCCCUUUGCCAACUCCAGUCAGGUAUAUCUUCAGUAAUGAAGUCAAGAGGGAAAAAUUAAGUAUGGAAAUAUAUCCAGUUUAUAUCAAUAGACUUGUUUAACUAUCUGAGGCUGUACUAUGUAUCUCAAAGUAGAAGUGUGUUGUAGUGUUUAGUAAAGUAGUGCUUAUAAUCCAUUGAGCU